UACUUGCAUACAAAGGUUGGAUGGAAACCUGGCUAUAGACAGUCACUCAAUUUGCCCCUGUCAGCUAAAUGUUUUUUGGGACUGGUAAAUUAGUCUAGCCAGCUAUCUAAACUUGUAGUAAUCAUGAUUGAAUUAUAGCCCUGGGGCCCCCCAUUGAUUUUGUUCGUCACUCUCACUCAGAUAUUAAAAACUGCAAAUGUUUCUCCCCUUUGGCAAAAUGAGUAGAAUUAAAAUGGGGAAAUAUUCUUCUGCCCCAUGGAUUUUUUGUUUUAGAAUUGUAGCAAAGUUGCUUUAAAACUGUAAAAUGUUCUUUGAGCGAUGGGUAACGAUGCUUCGAGGGUGACUGUUGUUGAUGUGUGCAGAGGGGCCCUGGUUCGCGCCCGGGUAUGGGCGAGGGGACGGUCUAAAGUUAUACUGUUACAGGUACACAGACCCGCGAGCCAUGGCGGCCCCUCAUUAGUUUUUUGUGUGGCCCCCCCACACCCAUCAAAGUUGAUGUUCCUUAUCUGGAGAAACCUGCUGGUGGUGAACCAUCACUAGAGGUCCUACAGUGAGUCCCAGAUGGCAACCUAUUCCCUAUACAGUGCACUACUUUGGACCGGGUUCCGUAAGGGACCACCGGGUUCUGAUCAAUAGUAGUGCACCAUAUAGGGACUAGGAUGCCAUUUGGGAUAAUACCCUGACAGUGUGUUACCCUGAAGGCUGAACCUGCGAGUGCUGUUGUGCUGUGUUUCCAUCAACAAAGAGACAAAGAUGAUAUCCAUUUAGGGCCGUGUUCGGUUGGAGUGUGGUAUCGAGCUCCUCAGAAAGACUGCCUGUGGAUGCUGGCUGGUAUACAUGUUAUCUCAGAGACUCCCUGUGGAGCUGGCUGGGUGAAUUAAAUCAUUUGGAUAUAGCACAUAGGGUCCCUUGGGUUACUGUCUAGCUAACAAGCUUUAAAAAAACCAUCUCCAUUGAAUAGAAUAUGGAUGGCCAUGGCAUUAUGCUUCUGCACUUUACAGUGGGGUUUUAAAACCACACACAUGAAAUGUUCUGUUCCUCUGCGAUACUCGGGCUGAUAGGUCCUGUUCCUCUGCGAUACUCGGGCUGAAACAUCUUGUUCCUCUGCGAUACUCGGGCUGAAACAUCCUGUUCCUCUGCGAUACUCGGGCUGAUAGGUCCUGUUCCUCUGCGAUACUCGGGCUGAAACAUCCUGUUCCUCUGCGAUACUCGGGUUGAUAGGUACAUAAUAUGGUAAUUAUUUUAGCUGUACCCCGAUCCUAAUAAAGGUAGUGAAAAGUUAAGCUGUUCCAGUACGAAACUUGACAGCUUGAUUCAUAAGCAUGGACCUUGAACAGAGUUUGACAGCUUGAUUUCAGAGGCGUACCACACAAUCGUGGCCAUCAGUGAUGAGGCAACAGCCCCUAGGCAACAGUUUGGCGAGUGUUUCUGAAUCUGCUGAUGAUGCAAUUGACAACUUCUAGAUAAUAUAAACUAGUUGUAUUCUAUAAGUGGACUACUGUGUGUUUUGUGAUCAUAUGGUGUUUGCUCAUUUCAGAC
ensembl:lncRNA